GAUGAAGAACGCAGCGAACUGCGAUAAGUAAUGUGAAUUGCAGAAUUCAGUGAAUCAUCGAGUCUUUGAACGCACAUUGCGCCCCCUGGCAUUCGGGGGGGCAUGCCUGUCCGAGCGUCAUUGCUGCCCUUCAAGCCCGGCUUGUGUGUUGGGUCGUCGUCCCCCCCGGGGGACGGGCCCGAAAGGCAGCGGCGGCACCGCGUCCGGUCCUCGAGCGUAUGGGGCUUUGUCACCCGCUCGAUUAGGGCCGGCCGGGCGCCAGCCGGCGUCUCCAACCUUCUAUUUUACCAGGUUGACCUCGGAUCAGGUAGGGAUACCCGCUGAACUUAAGCAUAUCAAUAAGCGGAGGA
rnacentral:misc_RNA from 1 species